rnacentral:rRNA from 1 species
UGCCAGCCGCCGCGGUAAUACGGAAGGGGCAAGCGUUGUUCGGAAUUAUUGGGCGUAAAGGGCGUGUAGGCGGCUCCAUAUGUCUGCGGUGAAAGCAUGCGGCUCAACCGCAUUAAGCCGUGGAAACUGUGGAGCUUGAGGCUGGGAGGGGCUGGUGGAAUUCCCUGUGUAGCGGUGAAAUGCGUAGAGAUGGGGGAGAACACUCGUGGCGAAGGCGGCCAGCUGGACCAGUUCUGACGCUGAGGCGCGAAAGCGUGGGGAGCAAACAGGAUUAGAUA